AAUGAAAAAUUAAUAUUUAGGCCCUUUAAAAAUUUUAAAUUAGUAAAGGUAAAAUUGCACUUUGCCCCCCUAAAAUUACAAAAAUUUGAUUUAAUCCUUUAAAACUUAUAAAGAUAUAGACUAUAAAAAAUUAAAAUUUCAUUCGGCCCCCUCUUAAAUAAUUGUUCUGGUUUCGCCCCUGGCUUAGGAUCUUUGAACAACUCUCGAAGCCCACUAUGAUACCAAUUGAAAAAUCUCUCUGUUUGCACUUGAAAAAUAGUUUCAUUCCAACCGUCAUUAGAACAAAAAUGAAUAGAAAGAUUAAAUGCAAAGUAACACAAUGAGCAAAGUAAGAAGAAAAUUAACACACGAUAUUUGUUAAUGCAAUUUAGACACAACAGUCCUAUGUUUGCAGAACCUCACCCAGUGAAUGAUUUUAUUCAACGAUCGUCUGGGUCGCCUAUUGACUUAAGCUCAACUUUACACAAAGAAGUAAUUGCAACCCCAAUACUAACCCCAGUAGUCACAAAUCACUCUCCCAAAUACCUCAUAGUACAUCAAUAAACCUCUCUCUAAAUAAUACCUAAAAGAGUGUCACAAAAUAACCACUAGAAAACAUAGCAAAGCUGUCGACAAAGA
rnacentral:lncRNA from 1 species